AGGCAAAUGAGCUUCCUCCUCAGUACCUCCUCCCAUCUAAUAAAAUGGCCCUGAACAAAGCCAGGGCAAAACCCUCUGCACCUUUGAAAAGAUAUACCUCAGGGCAGAAAAUGAAUAUAAAAUUUCACUCUUUCUUCUUUUGCAGUUUUACGUCUAUUUGGCAGGAGACCAUGGGGCAGAGGUCCUAUGCAUCUCUGAAAGGUAAAUACGGAGCACCAGUCAGACGAAGCCACAGCAGCUUCCAGCUAGCACUGAACACGAUUUUCAAGAACCACAGUUCCUGCACAGGAAAAUCAUUGUAAAAUACAGACAAUCCCAAAACUGAAUAAGCGCUAUUAUGAAAUCUCUUUGUACCUUGAAAUGCCAGUAUUAGCCAAAGGAGCCUUGUUCCAAAUGCCACUGCAAACAGCAAUUAGUUCAAGUAGAAAAGAUUACAGCCAGGUGCAGGUUUUGAAGUGACUUUUGGUGGGAGGAGGGAAAGAUCUCUCUUUUGUUAAUUGUCUGUGGUAAUUCAUCAGGCAUCUGAGGAAUUUAGGGAUAUUCAACCUUUUGUUCUUAGCCAACAAAAUAUAACCUCCGUGGCAUCCGUGAAUCGGAUGGAGAUACAGGGCUUAUUGAUGGUUGUCAGUCCGCUCAAGUGAAAGAUGACAUGAGGAAAAAGCAUAUAUUACAUUUGUCUUCCGCAGUGCAUGUAUUUUGUGAGGGCUUUGUCGGAGGGCUCGUUAAGAAGUAAAACCGAGUAACCUCCCCCCAGUGUGGGAAGCCGAACGUGAGCUCCAGGGUUCAGGGCAGGCAGCAGGCAGAUGAGGUGGCUGCAGCGGUCCGUUCAAGCCUUACAAAUCUAUAAGCGACAGAAAAUUACAAAGAAAUGGGGCAAACGCAACAAAGUGUGCCCCUGAGAAGAAAGAUGCUCUCAAAACUUCAAAAACCUCCUUAAAAGAUUGGAUUAACUUCUUCUAAUCCUUUGACUCAUGGAUAGAUACGAGUUCAAAGGACUAAUGUAAUUUUAUUAUUGCAUUUAAUCAAAUGUUUAAGUUAAGAAAUAGGAACUGAACUAAGGGCAACCUUCCCUUAUCAGCUUCUAAUGUCUCAGAGCAGGAAUGAAUUAAUUAAGUAAACGUAACAAGCUUAAAAGUAUAACAUAUAGCAACAGCUGAGUCAGUCUGACCAUCGGCCAUUUAUUGGGGUGAGAUGUGCAGCUCAACUACUACCAGAUGAUUCAAUUCACAUAUCUUGGCAGUAACAGACAAGUCAAAAGGGAUGCCUGGAGGGAUAUAGUGUCAUAAAUUGGCAAGGCAGAGAGUCAUUCACCAGCUUAAACAAAAUGUUGUCAUCAGAGAAGUCACAUAUUCAAUCCAUACAGCAGAGUAAAUUGCCUUCCGAAGGAGAGCAGACUUUGCAGGUUGGCUUCUCUGUAAAGUAGAGAUUAGAUUUGCCAAGUUCGGGGAUAUCUUAUGCAACCGGCUUACUUUGGGCCAUGUACUCCGGUGCUCAAACAGCAGGCAGCCAAUCCCCCCCUUUUCAGGAGUUUCAGCCCAAAUACCAGUGCCAAAUAAGCAUCCAUUGACUAUGAUAAGAGAGUUGAAAGCAAAGAGCGAGCAUUCUUGCCCUUUUCCAUAGUUUUCCACAGACAGAGUCUCCCCCAUGUGUGGGACAAGAAUAUAAAAUUUCUUAAAAGAUUAUAUAUAGCUUAAAUUGUGAGCAUAUGACUAAAGAUAUUUGUUUCUUUCUUUCUACAUAUUAAUUAUGGAUGAGAUGUGACUACAAUGUAGUAGGUUACAUUUACACAGUCGGGGAAAACAGUGCAAUUAAACAAAGGGAAUUCCGUGCUAACAGCUAAGUUUCGGCACAGUCAUUUUUCCUUACAAGACACACAGAUAUCUUAAGAGGUGGGCAACUAAAUAUAAGAAGAAAGAAAUUAUCUAAAACCCCAAAAGAUAUUAUUCCAUAUUUUCAAUUCAGUGUGGAACCAGACAUUAGUGAAAGAAAGGGAAAGUGCCAUGUAAUCUGAAUGAAUCGUUCCAACGGCUACGCAUUUCUUCUGUUCGCUAGAAUAUUAAAACUGCAGAAUACCUAGAGGAGAAAUAAAAAGAUGGAUAAACCUGUGUUGUUUGUUCUC
ensembl:lncRNA